GGAACAUGAAGGCAGGGUUACCUCAUACAUGGAAGGCUUGACAGCUUGUGGCAAAAAAGUCUGGAAAGAUAUGAGAAGUUUCCCCAGUGGCUGUUAGUGAGUGCAUGGAAGAAUUUUUUAAUCAGUCCUGAUACACAUUCAUAUAUCCAGCCAUCAAGAUUGAGAUAUCUUUAUCAAGAAUUUUACAGAUUUCCAGAAUAAAUGAGGUUGGAAAAGACCUCUUGAGAUCAAGUCCAACCUUUGCCUGAGUAUCACCAUGUCAA